rnacentral:rRNA from 1 species
AUGCUCUUCACAAUUGCAGUUGACCCUCGUAUCUCUGUCGAGGCGGCCCUUAUUGACUUAGGGCUCCUCGCCUUCCGCUGCCCCUUCGGCCCUCCCGAAGUUGCUGCCUGGGACGCCCUUAUGCAGGACAUCGCCCUCCUCCCUAUGGACGGCGUUGACUCCCCGGAUGUCACUUUGUGGCGGCUUGAGCCCUCCGGCUGCUUCUCCACCAAAUCCCUCUACGCGGCCAUCGCCCCCUCGACGGCUCCCGAACCCUUUAGUUUGAUUUGGGAUAUCCGCCUGCCCUUGAAGAUCCGGAUCUUCAUAUGGCGAUAGAUUCGUGGCCGCCUCCCAACGGGCGUGGAGGUCCGUAAGCGUAAUGGACCUGGGAACGGGAUGUGCCCCUUGUGCGACACGAUGGAGGAUGCUAACCACAUCUUCUUCUCGUGCCCUACGGCCCAGUUCCUCUGGUCCUGCUUCCGCGAGACUGUUGGGGGCCAGUGGUGUAACACCAACUUCCGUGACCUGCUUGCGGAAAUCCAUGCUUCCAUCGGGGGCUCCUUCUCCCCGGAUCUGGUCGCAGCCCCCAAUCUCAACCAGCGACGCCAGCCACCACCACCCCUCUGUCGUCGUUCCUCGCCGGCCACGACGAGGUCCUCCCUCCGGCAUCGUGGAUCUAGGUCCCCUUCUAACCCAUAG